GUGAAUCAUCGAAUUUUUGAACGCAAAUUGCACUCUCUGCGGAGAGGAUGCCUGUUUGAGGGUCAGCCUAUGAAAAUCGACAUCGUUGCUGUUUCGCGGUUGCAUUCGUCGGAAAGGGGGGCUUCUUAAGUCCUAUUUGUUGAAGCGACUUAAAUUUUUCGUUUUGUUCCAUUAACGUUUCUAAGAUCUAUUUCUUUUCACGU
rnacentral:misc_RNA from 1 species